GGUGCUUGCACCUGGUGGCGAGUGGCGAACGGGUGAGUAAUACAUCGGAACAUGUCCUGUAGUGGGGGAUAGCCCGGCGAAAGCCGGAUUAAUACCGCAUACGAUCUACGGAUGAAAGCGGGGGACCUUCGGGCCUCGCGCUAUAGGGUUGGCCGAUGGCUGAUUAGCUAGUUGGUGGGGUAAAGGCCUACCAAGGCGACGAUCAGUAGCUGGUCUGAGAGGACGACCAGCCACACUGGGACUGAGACACGGCCCAGACUCCUACGGGAGGCAGCAGUGGGGAAUUUUGGACAAUGGGCGAAAGCCUGAUCCAGCAAUGCCGCGUGUGUGAAGAAGGCCUUCGGGUUGUAAAGCACUUUUGUCCGGAAAGAAAUCCUUGGUUCUAAUAUAGCCGGGGGAUGACGGUACCGGAAGAAUAAGCACCGGCUAACUACGUGCCAGCAGCCGCGGUAAUACGUAGGGUGCGAGCGUUAAUCGGAAUUACUGGGCGUAAAGCGUGCGCAGGCGGUUUGCUAAGACCGAUGUGAAAUCCCCGGGCUCAACCUGGGAACUGCAUUGGUGACUGGCAGGCUAGAGUAUGGCAGAGGGGGGUAGAAUUCCACGUGUAGCAGUGAAAUGCGUAGAGAUGUGGAGGAAUACCGAUGGCGA
rnacentral:rRNA from 1 species